AAAAAGAACGAAUGCGUUUGCGGAGAGUCCAAACUCGGGUCUAUUGCUUGAAAGGCAAUUAUCCUAAUCGUCGGACUACAAACGCUACUGGAUGAGAGAAGUUCUAAUUACACAUAAAUUAUAUUUAUUUGUUAUAGAUGCUGUUGACGUUAAUUUAUGAUAAGUAAAAUAUUUUGUAGGGCAUUUCAAUAAUUGUUCAAAAGUUAACGAAGAUAUGUUAUUAAAUUAAACUCAAAGUAUCGAAUAAUAAAAUAUUUUUUUGGGUUUUGUCAAAAGAUUUAUAUAAUGAGUUCUUCAAAUUGCUGAUUGCAAAGGGAAGCAUUUUCGAAAACGGUCAACACUUAAAAUGAGCAGAGAUGGGGCAAUUGCAGCACCCAAAAGCCGUCGGACCUUAAAUUUUCUGGUUGGUUUGCACGUUGAAAAGCAAUCUCAGGAGGCCAACCAUUUCUUGAGCUGAAGAUUCAUCCUUCAUUUCUUCGGAGAAUCUGCGCUGAAUAUGGCAACACCUUCUAUUUGGGAACUGUGCUGAUGACGAAGGAGCGGCAGAGAGCAAUAUAUGGAAUUUUGAAGAUAACCCAUCUCAGAAAAGCCAUGAAAAUGUGGAUUUUUUGACAUUUCAAAAUCAAAAUAUGCACAAAAGUGUUGACUUUUUUGUUUUCUUAUUGGUGCAGUUUGGUGCAGGAGAACAGAUGAACUUGUGGACGUCCCCAAGUGCUUGAUGGGUGCAAAGAAUGUUUGCAAGACAUCUUUGAAGGGUGUCCGUAGGACGUGCUGAAAGCUGCUUUUAAGUCACACAACGUCCAAAUUUCGCACACAUAUCCCUGCAGUAAUCGUAUGAACUGGGUUGUACCUAUUUCGAUUCAAAAUGAGAAAAGAACCGAGCAGCAGUAGGAGCCCUAAAGAGGAAAGGGGCAGGAGCACUCACCCUUUAAAGCGGUUUGGAAUAACUUUCUAAACACUUCCGAACACAUUUCUUCUUCACAUAAUUAUACUUUUUUAAGUACUCACAAAGUCAUCCUUAUCUCUUGAUUGAGGAUAUGAUAGUUUUGAAGAACUGUAUUGGUACUGUUACCAUGUAGCUGGAUCUGCGAGGCUAAUGAGUGUGCCUGUAAUGGUAAUUGCAUCCGAUUCUUUGCUUCCUAC